GAUGAACGCUGGCGGCGUGCCUAACACAUGCAAGUCGAGCGAACAGAUGAGGAGUUUGCUCCUCUGACGUUAGCGGCGGACGGGUGAGUAACACGGGGAUAACCUACCUAUAAGACUGGGAUAACUUCGGGAAACCGGAUCUAAUACCGGAUAAUAUAUUGAACCGCAUGGUUCAAUAGUGAAAGGCGGUUUUGCUGUCACUUAUAGAUGGAUCCGCGCCGCAUUAGCUAGUUGGUAAGGUAACGGCCUACCAAGGCGACGAUGCGUAGCCGACCUGAGAGGGUGAUCGGCCACACUGGAACUGAGACACGGUCCAGACUCCUACGGGAGGCAGCAGUAGGGAAUCUUCCGCAAUGGGCGAAAGCCUGACGGAGCAACGCCGCGUGAGUGAUGAAGGUCUUCGGAUCGUAAAGCUCUGUUAUUAGGGAGGAACAAAUGUGUAAGUAACUAUGCACGUCUUGACGGUACCUAAUCAGAAAGCCACGGCUAACUACGUG
rnacentral:rRNA from 1 species